rnacentral:rRNA from 1 species
AUGAACGCUGGCGGCGUGCCUAAUACAUGCCAGUCGAGCGAACGGACGAGAAGCUUGCUUCUCUGAUGUUAGCGGCGGACGGGUGAGUAACACGUGGAUAACCUACCUAUAAGACUGGGAUAACUUCGGGAAACCGGAGCUAAUACCGGAUAAUAUUUUGAACCGCAUGGUUCAAAAGUGAAAGACGGUCUUGCUGUCACUUAUAGAUGGAUCCGCGCUGCAUUAGCUAGUUGGUAAGGUAACGGCUUACCAAGGCAACGAUGCAUAGCCGACCUGAGAGGGUGAUCGGCCACACUGGAACUGAGACACGGUCCAGACUCCUACGGGAGGCAGCAGUAGGGAAUCUUCCGCAAUGGGCGAAAGCCUGACGGAGCAACGCCGCGUGAGUGAUGACGGUCUUCGGAUCGUAAAACUCUGUUAUUAGGGAAGAACAUAUGUGUAAGUAACUGUGCACAUCUUGACGGUACCUAAUCAGAAAGCCACGGCUAACUACGUG